GGAAGGCAGCAGGCACGCAAAUUACCCACUCCCGGCUCGGGGAGGUAGUGACGAAACGUAACGAGGCCGGACUCUACGAGACCCGGCGUUCGGAAUGAGUGCGCUCUAAAAACUCGUGACGAGGACCUACUGGAGGGCAAGACUAAUGCCAGCCGCUGCGGUAAUUUUAGCUCCAGUGGCGUAUACUAAAGUUGUUGUAGUUAAAAAGCUCGUAAUUGGACGUCUGCUCUGUACGCAGGGGACCGCUUCCGCGGUCCGCCAUGCGCAACCGGCAUACUACCAGCCCGCUCCGGUGCGAGGUCGAGAGAUCGGCGCCGGGGGGAUGGCGGUGAUCGCCCUGCAACAAUUAGAGUGCUCAAGGCGGGCCAAGCUCGCCGGAAUAGUAAUGCACGGAACGAUCGAACAAGGCCCCGGAUCCCGGUGUGUUGGCGCUAGGGAUCUCCGGGGCAAUGAUCAACAGGAGCAGACGGGGGCAUCCGUAUUCCGACGCUAGAGGUGAAAUUCUGUGACCGUCGGAAGACGCCCUACUGCGAAAGCAUUUGCCAAGAAUGUUUCCAUUGACCAAGAACUAAAGUGGCGGGCUCGAAGGAGAUCAGAUACCUUAGUAGUCUUGUCCCCUAAACGAUGCGGACUGGCGCUGCGGGUGCGUACGAACGAGAUCCUGCGGAGCCAGGCCGGGAAACCAGAGCUCAG
rnacentral:rRNA from 2 species